rnacentral:rRNA from 1 species
UACAGAGGUGGCAAGCGUUGUUCGGAAUUACUGGGCGUAAAGGGCGCGUAGGCGGCCUUCUAAGUCGGACGUGAAAGCCCCAGGCUUAACCCGGGAACUGCGUCUGAUACUGGGAGGCUUGGAUUCGGGAGAGGGAUGUGGAAUUCCAGGUGUAGCGGUGAAAUGCGUAGAUAUCUGGAGGAACACCGGUGGCGAAGGCGGCAUCCUGGACCGAGAUCGACGCUGAGGCGCGAAAGCUAGGGGAGCAAACGGGAUUAGAUACCCCGGUAGUCCUAGCCCUAAACGAUGAGUGCUUGGUGUGGCGGGUAUCGAUCCCUGCCGUGCCGAAGCUAACGCAUUAAGCACUCCGCCUGGGGAGUACGGUCGCAAGGCUGAA